AGAUGCCUCUGUGGACCGUUUAAGAAACCACAGUGCUUUGGAGGAAAGGAAGAGACCCUUGAUAAUAUAGCUCUCUUGGCUGGAGAUUGCAGGUCCCGGUGGGGAGAACAAUGAAGACACUUACUGGAUCUUUGUUCCUGUUUUUGUGGCUGCAGCUGGACUGUAUGAGUAGAGGAGAGGAUGUGGAGCAGAGUCUUUUCCUGAGUGUCCGAGAGGGAGACAUCUCCGUUAUAAACUGCACUUACACGGACAGUUCCUCCACCUACUUAUAUUGGUAUAAGCAAGAACCUGGAGCAGGUCUCCAGUUGCUGAUAUAUAUUCUUUCAAAUAUGGACCUGAAACGAGACCAAAGAGUCACUGUUCUAUUGAAUAAGAAGGAUAAACAUCUGUCUUUGCGCAUCGCAGACACCCAGACUGAGGACUCAGCUAUCUACUUCUGUGCAGAGAGUACACAUUGCCUCUCAGGCACCUGUAUCCUGUACCUAAACCUGCGCCUGGGGCUAAAGCCACACUCUAUUUCCUUUAUCUUUAAGUCAGGGAUUUUGCUGUUUUGUAUUUUUAAUGUUACAAAACAUCCUAAAACGUCAGUUUCAAAAUGACUUAAUAACUUUCAGAACAUUUUGAUUAAACUCUUUUUGGGAGUUAAUG